AUUUAACGCUGGCGGCAGGCCUAACACAUGCAAGUCGAGCGGAUGAAGGGAGCUUGCUCCUGGAUUCAGCGGCGGACGGGUAAGUAAUGCCUAGGAAUCUGCCUGGUAGUGGGGGAUAACGUCCGGAAACGGGCGCUAAUACCGCAUACGUCCUGAGGGAGAAAGUGGGGGAUCUUCGGACCUCACGCUAUCAGAUGAGCCUAGGUCGGAUUAGCUAGUUGGUGGGGUAAAGGCCUACCAAGGCGACGAUCCGUAACUGGUCUGAGAGGAUGAUCAGUCACACUGGAACUGAGACACGGUCCAGACUCCUACGGGAGGCAGCAGUGGGGAAUAUUGGACAAUGGGCGAAAGCCUGAUCCAGCCAUGCCGCGUGUGUGAAGAAGGUCUUCGGAUUGUAAAGCACUUUAAGUUGGGAGGAAGGGCAGUAAGUUAAUACCUUGCUGUUUUGACGUUACCAACAGAAUAAGCACCGGCUAACUUCGUG
rnacentral:rRNA from 1 species